rnacentral:rRNA from 1 species
AACGAACGCUGGCGGCAUGCCUAACACAUGCAAGUCGAACGAGACCUUCGGGUCUAGUGGCGCACGGGUGCGUAACGCGAGGGAACCUGCCCUUAGGUUCGGAAUAACUCCCCGAAAGGGGUGCUAAUACCGGAUAAUGUCUUCGGACCAAAGAUUUAUCGCCUUUGGAUGGGCCCGCGUUGGAUUAGCUAGUUGGUAGGGUAAAAGCCUACCAAGGCGACGAUCCAUAGCUGGUCUGAGAGGAUGAUCAGCCACACUGGGACUGAGACACGGCCCAGACUCCUACGGGAGGCAGCAGUGGGGAAUAUUGGACCAUGGGCGAAGGCCUGAUCCAGCAAUGCCGCGUGAGUUAUGAAGGCCUUAGGGUUGUAAAGCUCUUUUACCCGGGAUGAUAAUGACAGUACCGGGAGAAUAAGCUCCGGCUAACUCCGUG